AAAAGAAGUAAUAUAGUUUGUAUAAUAUGUAGGAUUCAAAUGGCGAAUUCAUACCAGCAUUAAGAUAAACAGAUUAUUACAUUCAAGAAAUGCGGAGAGGGUGGAAUUACACUGGAAAACAAUCACCAAAUACCAAAAAAGAAGCAAGAGACAAAGCUAAAAAAGAAUGCCAAUGGCUGAGUUUACCACAAAGCAGCAAUCAAAGGCAACUAGGACUACUAUCAUCAGCAGCAGCGGCAGCACCUGGCGCCUCACUUGAGCUCGAAGAACCACUGCUAGUAACACAUGCUCCUCGCUUCUUGCGCUCCUCUUCGUAUUCAGGAUCAUCUGUGGGCAAUUCAAACCUACAGACGGGACAAGAAUUCCUUGAACCCAACCAUUGAACUAUACAAUCAUCAUGGUAACCAUGACCACAGGGCAAAUUCUUAGCCAUUUCGCCCACAUUCACUACAUCUUUACAAAUGGCACAUGCCAUUACCUCCUGCUCUUCCUUGAUCACCAAU
rnacentral:misc_RNA from 1 species